rnacentral:rRNA from 1 species
CCUACGGGAGGCAGCAGUAGGGAAUAUUGCUCAAUGGGGGAAACCCUGAAGCAGCAACGCCGCGUGGAGGAUGAAGGUUUUCGGAUUGUAAACUCCUUUUGUUAGAGAAGAUAAUGACGGGAUCCAUCGAAUAAGCACCGGCUAACUCCGUGCCAGCAGCCGCGGUUAUACGGAGGGUGCAAGCGUUACUCGGAAUCAGUGGGCGUAAAGAGCGCGUAGGCGGGAUAGCCAGUCAGAUGUGAAAUCCUAUGGCUUAACCCUAGGACUGCAUUUGAAACUGUUAUUCUAGAGUAUGGGAGAGGUAGGUGGAAUUCUUGGUGUAGGGGUAAAAUCCGUAGAGAUCGAGAAGAAUACUCAUUGCGAAGGCGACCUGCUGGAACAUAACUGACGCUGAUGCGCGAAAGCGUGGGGAGCGAACAGGAUUAGAUACCCGUGUAGUC